rnacentral:rRNA from 1 species
CAAUAGCGUAUAUUAAAGUUGUUGCAGUUAAAAAGCUCGUAGUUGGAUUUCUGGUGAGUUCGUUUGGCCGGCCGUAAAGGUCUGUGCCGAAAUGUUAUUCGCCAUCCUUGGUGUAAUCUUGUCCGCCAUUAAGUUGUGUGGGCUUGAGGAUGCCAUCGUUUACUGUGAAAAAAUUAGAGUGUUCAAAGCAGGCUUAUGCCGUUGAAUACAUUAGCAUGGAAUAAUAAGAUAGGACCCUGGUACUAUUUUGUUGGUUUGCGUACCUAGGUAAUGAUUAAUAGGGACAGUUGGGGGUAUUUGUAUUCCGUUGUCAGAGGUGAAAUUCUUGGAUUUACGGAAGACAAACUACUGCGAGAGCAUUUACCAAGGAUGUUUUCAUUAA